rnacentral:lncRNA from 1 species
UUAUCAAUUGAGUUAUAUACGUCCGUUUUCAAAAAUUUAAAUUGCAAAAUGUGUGGAAUUUUUUUUUAUUUUUAUUAUAAAUAUAUUUUAUGUAAUAAUAUAAAUUAAAAACAAAUAAGAUUACAUAAAUAUAUUGGAGAGAGAUUCGAUAUAUUAAAGAGAGAGAUUUUAGGAAAUCUUUUUGAUGUAAUAAAUAUUUGUUUCCAAUUUUACGAUUUGCUUGUGAUUUAAUUACAAAUUUUACUUUUAA